ACAUGCAAGUCGAGCGGAAACGAUGGGAGCUUGCUCCCAGGCGUCGAGCGGCGGACGGGUGAGUAACGCGUAGGAAUCUGCCCAGUAGAGGGGGAUAGCCCGAGGAAACUCGGAUUAAUACCGCAUACGCCCUACGGGGGAAAGGCCGGGAUCUUCGGACCGGUCACUAUUGGAUGAGCCUGCGUUGGAUUAGCUAGUUGGUGGGGUAAAGGCCUACCAAGGCGACGAUCCAUAGCUGGUCUGAGAGGAUGAUCAGCCACACUGGGACUGAGACACGGCCCAGACUCCUACGGGAGGCAGCAGUGGGGAAUAUUGGACAAUGGGCGCAAGCCUGAUCCAGCCAUGCCGCGUGUGUGAAGAAGGCUCUAGGGUUGUAAAGCACUUUCAGUAGGGAGGAAGGCCAAAAAGUUAAUAGCUUUUUGGAUUGACGUUACCUACAGAAGCAGCACCGGCUAACUCCG
rnacentral:rRNA from 1 species